CAAAGGUUUGAUUCCAACACUCCCUCUCAAACCUUCUGAUUUAAUCUCUAAAUUCCCAGGCUGAGAUUUGAUCUUUAUUUCCUCCAAAUCUUUGUUGUUGAUUUUGAUUCCCAUGUGAGACACACCUCUCACAACGUCUGCGUAGCUCAACGGUUCAGCCAUAGUGGUUUUAGCAUGAUCUUCUUCGAUGCUACAUCGCUUGUUCGGUUUUGGUACCACUCCCAGUUUAGAUCGGAGUUCUUCAAAGUGUUUUGUUCCAAGAGGUUUUGUCAGUACGUCGGCGAUUUGUUCUUCACCACUGCAGUAACGAUUUCUUCCAAUCGCUAUAGCCGACGUGUUAUCA